AACGCGAAGAACCUUACCUGGGCUUGAACUACUGGUAGUAAGUCUUUGGAAACAUGGACUGAUCCGCAAGGAAGCCAGCAGAGGUGCUGCAUGGUUGUCGUCAGCUCGUGUCGUGAGAUGUUGGGUUAAGUCCCGCAACGAGCGCAACCCCUAUCUCAUGUUGCUACUCCCGCAAGGGAAGCACUCUUGAGAAACUGCCUUCGAUAAGAAGGAGGAAGGUGGGGAUGACGUCAAAUCCUCAUGGCCCUUAUGUCCAGGGCUACACACGUGCUACAAUGGCCGGUACAACGGGAAGCAAUACCGCAAGGUGGAGCAAAACCCUGAAAGCCGGCCUCAGUUCAGAUCGUGGGCUGAAACUCGCCCACGUGAAGGCGGAAUCGCUAGUAAUCGCGAAUCAGCAGGUCGCGGUGAAUACGUUCCCGGGCCUUGUA
rnacentral:rRNA from 1 species